rnacentral:lncRNA from 1 species
CUUGACUUGCAAGUUGCAAGGGGACAGACCUGAUGAUUUAUCCACCAAGUCAUACAGGCCCCUCAAACAGUUUCUUAAUGGGAAACAUAUGCCACGAAGCCUAGGCAGUUAGUUCUCACUUUGCCUUAGCCUGUGUUUGUUCAAAAAUUGAACACCACUAGACAACAGAGAUUUGCAGAAAGGAAAGCAACAUUCCUGGAAAUCUCAUUUCAGUUUUUCAUUGGGGAAGUUCAGUGUCAUUUUCAUUCUGGCUAAACCACCUGCUGCAUUGUGGGAAGUCCCACACGGUGACCACAGUGCAUCGUGGACAAGGCUGUGUCUCCCUAUAGGGGAGAAUUGAGAGCAGAAGGCACCCUUAUUUCAGCUCCCAAGAGACACUUCAGCAGCCCAGACAGAUGCAGUUCAGUGUCAACCUGAUCUGAAA